AAACUAUUCGAAUAAUUUUUAUGUAACAUUGACUUAAAUUAAGGCAAGCUUUAAAUUGGUUGUACGGUGCUAAUAGUUUAAACGACACGUUUUGGGUUCUCUCGGUCUAUAAUAUUUUUACACGUUCAACGCACUAUAGUUUCGUAGUAUACCGAGAGCGGAGUGUGUUUCUGUAAAAAUUCGGUUUCAAGUUAUUUUGCGUGGACUCAAUAGUUUUUUGGAUAAAAUGGAAAACAUAACAAAAAUGUGGAUGGGCCCACUGCCAGCGGAUUCACCUUACGUGAAACCAUUUAGACUAUACUAUGUACAGAAUGGAGUCGAAAAGAAUUGGGAUUUAUUAAAAGUUCAUGAUAGUGUUGCUGUAAUUUUGUUUAACACGACACGACGAGUUCUCAUUUUCGUUCGUCAAUUUCGACCAGCUGUCUUCCAUAGCGUCGUUACCUCAAGCGGAAGUGAUUUUGGGGAAGUAGAUUUACAGAAAUUUCCUCCGAAAAUCGGAGUCACAUUGGAACUGUGUGCAGGUAUUGUAGAUAAAAACAAGAGUUGGAGUGAGAUAGCUCGGGAAGAGGUACUAGAGGAGUGCGGUUAUGACGUGGCUGUUGAACGUAUUGAGGAAGUGAUGACCUACAGGUCGGGAGUAGGCUCUUCUGGCGCAUUACAGGUGCUGUAUUAUUGCGAAGUUACGGAUGAUGAUCGGGCUACUAAAGGUGGUGGUGUUGAUGAUGAGAUGAUUGAUGUGGUUGAGUAUACAAUUGAGGAAUCUAGAGAGUUGAUGAAACAAGGGUCAAAGAUAAAUAGUCCACCCAGUUGUCUCUUAGGUAUCAGUUGGUUUUUAAUGAAUAAAGCACCAAAGCUUGUAUGCCCUAGUAAAUAUUGAAUUGAAGCGUAGAAUGAGAUUGAAACACAACAAUCAAAAGAUGCAAAACAUUAAUUUCAUUUGAAGGCUAUUAUGAAUAAAAAAAAUCAAAAAGACAUUAUACACUAUUGGGUUCUUUAAGAACCCGAUUCCGGAAUAACAAACCGGAAUUGAUAUCUCACAAAAUUAUUGUUAUGCUA
rnacentral:misc_RNA from 1 species